rnacentral:rRNA from 1 species
GACGAACGCUGGCGGCGUGCUUAACACAUGCAAGUCGAACGGAAAGGCCCUGCUUUUGUGGGGUGCUCGAGUGGCGAACGGGUGAGUAACACGUGAGUAACCUGCCCUUGACUUUGGGAUAACUUCAGGAAACUGGGGCUAAUACCGGAUAGGAGCUCCUGCUGCAUGGUGGGGGUUGGAAAGUUUCGGCGGUUGGGGAUGGACUCGCGGCUUAUCAGCUUGUUGGUGGGGUAGUGGCUUACCAAGGCUUUGACGGGUAGCCGGCCUGAGAGGGUGACCGGCCACAUUAGGACUGAGAUACGGCCCAGACUCCUACGGGAGGCAGCAGUGGGGAAUAUUGCACAAUGGGCGGAAGCCUGAUGCAGCGACGCCGCGUGCGGGAUGACGGCCUUCGGGUUGUAAACCGCUUUCGCCUGUAACGAAGCGUGAGUGACGGUAAUGGGUAAAGAAGCACCGGCUAACUACGUG